UACGUAGGGUGCGAGCGUUUGUCCGGAAUUACUGGGCGUAAAGAGCUCGUAGGUGGUUUGUCGCGUUGUCCGUGAAAACUCACAGCUUAACUGUGGGCGUGCGGGCGAUACGGGCAGACUGGAGUACUGCAGGGGAGACUGGAAUUCCUGGUGUAGCGGUGGAAUGCGCAGAUAUCAGGAGGAACACCGGUGGCGAAGGCGGGUCUCUGGGCCGAUACUGACACUGAGAAGCGAAAGCGUGGGGAGCGAACAGG
rnacentral:rRNA from 1 species